UAACCGGUCAGAGUAGAUCAUAUCACAAUAUAAAGGGUUGUUCUAGGUUCAGGCCAAUAUAGUAAUGUACAGUAAUGCUAGCAAAUAAAAAGCUCAGGAUUGCACUUUAAUUGCAACAAUUAGUAUUUAUUAGUUGAUUUAAAUAUGAAUUAUUAACGUUUGAUGAUAUAUAGCAUGAUACAUAGCACUAAACAUCAUUUCCACAUCUUUAUUUAACAAAGAAGUCAAGUAAAAUUGAUCAAUGCAAUUUUCAUCCUCAAUCACCAUAUUAUUUUCACUGGCUCUUAAGAAGAGUUGUGAGCAGCGAAGGUGGUUGUGGGUAAUUGUAGCCAGGCAUGGUGACAUUAGAUCCUUCAUAGUGAAAAAAAACAUCAAAGAUCAUGAAAACUAUACGUAACUAGACCAUAACAUAAAACACAGUAUGCUUUUAUGAUGAACGUUUAACAUACGUCUGACAUACAACGCAUAUCAGAAGCCCAGAUUUAAAAGUACAUUAUUUGACUUUAAAAUAAACAUAUUUUGAGCAUCUUUACUUUUGUCAGACAGCUGUAAGUGAAAGCAAUCGAUUAUGUUUCUGUCAUUUCAACACAACCGUUUUUCCCUAGCUUUGCGACAGCAGAAAUGCAAUAUGGGGCUUUCAUGAAUCAAAGAAUAAAUGUUUCCAGAUGACAAUGUCUUGCCUGCAGAAGAGAAAAAAAGUAAAAGGCUGCAGAAAUCCAUUUGCUCCAGCAUGAAUCCCAGAGAAUAAAAAAAAGGGAAAAGAAUUUCAAGCCGGGUGCACUCAUGCAUAUAUCCUGCUGCCGUGAGGAACCCUUCAGUGCAGAGCGGCCAUAAAUAUAGCCCGUAUGAGCCCACAGAAUCAUCCCUUGCUACACUAUGCUUUCGCACAGUUUAAGGUCAAUAUUUGGAAUCCACAUUGUCAGAUGAGGGGGGGGGGUUUCAGGGCUCUCUGAUGACCUAACAGCUGCCAAAGGAGAGUACCAGGGAGACCCUAAACAGGCCUGUCAGGGUUGCUAUAGGAAUCCAUUGACAUGAGUAUGGUAUUUUGGCCUAGGCACGAUGAUAAAGAGAUUGCACAUGCACAGUGUAACCAACUGGAGUUUAACUGACAAGGAUGUUGAAGUUUGUGUUGGAAUAAUGUGUACCGUACUAAAAAAAAAGGGACUUUCCAAGAACAGGUUACACGUUUUUUAUUUUUAAAACUGUAAAUACAUAUUUUGUGGGACUAAUUGCAGUUUAAGCUAAUUUACCCUUCCAUUCAAAAAUGUUUUUUUUUUUUCACCAAGCAUGCAUUAAAUUGAUCAAAAGUGACAUGAAAGACUUUUACAUUGUAUUAUACUAUGCUGUUCUUUGAACUAAUCCUGGAAAAAAAAGUGUCACAGUGAGUUUUCACAAAAAUAUUAAGCAGAACAACUGUUUUCAACAUCGAUAAUAAUAGAAAAAAUGUUUUGUGCACCAAAUCAGCAUGUUAGAAUGAUUUCCGAAGGAUCAUGUGACACUGAAGACUGGAGUAAUGAUGCUGAAAAUUUUGUUUUACCAUCACAGAAAUAAAUUAAAUUUUAAAAUAUAUUACAAUAGAAUACAGUUAUUUUAACUGUAACAAUAUUUCACAAUAUUACUGUCAUUUCAAAACCUUUUUACUGUAUUUUUGAUCAAACAAAUGCAGACUUUUGAUAACUUCUCUCAAAAACAUUAAAAAAAUAUUACCAACCCCAUUUUGAACAUACAUUUGUACAUGUCCAUGAUUGUUAUUUUCUAAUAAAAAAACAUAUGAAAAAUCUUCAAAAUAAAACUAAGACAGGACAAUAUUGCAGGACAUCUGCUCAAUGUUAAUUUUAGUCUUGUAGAAGCGAUUAGAAUUGUGUAUAUGACUAAUACUGCUGAAAGGAUCUGCUUUCUGUCAAACUAUUUAUGACUUAGAAUAACAAAUGAAGAUGAGCUACUGAAAAAACUCAGUAACCCACCGUCGGCAGAAAUGGAUGGUGGAGCACACACUGAGAGCAGUUAAAAGAGCUCUCUAGACACCUGAAUCCACUCCAGACUCUUGGAAAGAGUCUCAAUAUUAUAUCCAGUCAUCUUGGCCCCUUCAAACACAGACUAUGAAACAAGUCUGGUCAGAAACAAAGUAGAACAGAACAGUUGCAUAAGAGGUUAUGAAAAUGCAAUCAAAAUGAAAAUUCAAGGGUGGAGAAAAGUACUUUCUUCUUAACAGAAUCAACUACAGGGGUAUCACUAAAUAAUGGAUUUUUGCUGAAUUAUCCACAUUUUCAGGAGUUUUUUUUUAAUUUUAUAUAUAUACACUAUAUUGCCAAAAGUAUUUGGACACCCCUCCAAAUCAUUGAAUUCAGGUGUUCCAAUCACUUCCAUGGCCACAGGUGUAUAAAAUCAAGCACCUAGGCAUGCAGACUGCUUCUACAAUCAUUUGUGAAAGAAUGGGUCGCUCUCAGGAGCUCAGUGAAUUCAAGCGUGGUACCGUGAUAGGUUGCCACCCGUGCAGUAAGUCCAUUCGUAAAAUUAUGGUGUGGGGUUGUUUUUCAGGGGUUGGGCUUGGCCCCUUAGUUACAGUGAAAGGAACUCUUAAUGCUUCAACAUACCAAGACAUUUUGGACAAUUUCAUGCUCCCAACUUUGUGGGAACAGUUUGGGGAUGGCCCCUUCCUGUUCCAACAUGACUGCGCACCAGUGCACAAAGCAAGGUCCAUAAAGACAUGGAUGAGCGAGUUUGGUGUGGAGGAACUUGACUGUCCUGCACAGAGUCCUGACCUCAACCCGAUAGAACACCUUUGGGAUGAAUUAGAGCGGAGACUGCGAGCCAGGCCUUCUCGCCAACAUCACUGCCUGACCUCACAAAUGCGCUUCUAGAAGAAUGGUCAAAAAUUCCCAUAAACACACUCCUAAACCUUGUGGAAAGCCUUCCCAGAAGAGUUGAAGCUGUUAUUGCUGCAAAGAGUGGAUCAACUCCAUAUUAAACCCUACGGAUUAAGAAUGGGAUGUCAUUAAAUUUCAUGUGCACGUAAAGGCAGGCGUCUCAAAACUUUUGCCAAUAUAGUGUAGGUUCUAAGAUAAUAUGUUGUUGGGGGCCAUCGUAGCACCAUGUAAAUGUUACAAUCAAUUAAUAUGGUAAUCAUUUUGUAACAUGGUACAUUACUGUUCAAAAGUUUGGAGUCAGUCAUUUUUUUCACAAUUUUUUUUUUCACAAACUCAUGUCAUGAUGAGUACAAACUACAACAUGAGUAUGUGCACUAACCUCUAGGCCAUGGCUCUGACAAAACUAGAGAAAUUUAAUUCACAGUAUGUAACAUCUCAUGCACACUAGAUGCUGAAACAUACUGGUUGUAUUUCAAAGCGUUUACAGAGAGAGAGAACAGAGCAUAUAUCUGGAUAAGACAAACACAAAGCCCAAAUUUGACACAACCUCCAUCUGGCAUACUUUGGCUCUCCUAGUUGUUAAUUCCAUUCUUUUUGAUUCCAUCUCCACUGUCUUCCAAACAUUCACCUUAUACAAAGCAAAUGUAGUAUUUAGUGAACACUGACAGGCAUUUGUGAGAGGAUGGGCUGAUAUUCUGUUAUGUUUCUUUGUGAUGCAGUAUCAUUUGAAUUUAAACUGAAAGCAGAAGGUUUUAUGCUCAACAUUUAUUGGAAACUAAAGAGAAACUAAAGAGCAUCUCGAUUUUUUUUCUUCAGUGGAAAGUAGAGGUGGAUUGGACAUUUCCUGAACAGUCUGGACUGGCUGUACUAGCAUCUGCCUAUCUGAAUCACUCAUAUGAGCUGCCUGAGGCACUGAUAAGAGUCUGCAGAGAACUUUACAAGCCUGAACAACAAACCGUUCUUCUUUGAGACACAUAGGCUAAAAUACUACCUGUAUGUGUUUAAAGAGGAAAAAGGCAACAUUUACUCAUCAUACUUCCAAUAUUGAGUUCUAGCAAGCUUUCUUACUCUUUUUUUUUAAAUAAGAAAAUUUAGAGCAAGUUACAAAACCAAAACAGAACUGUGGCAAAGUCUGUAUCUCAUUAGUCUGUGUAUCACUUUUGGCUGCCCGUCUCAUCUCUUGUUUUGAACAGUUCUUAGGACUCUAUUUUGGUGGUCAAGCUGCUAACAAUAGGUUUCUAUCUUGUGACUAUAUUUACACUGGACCGGAGUGAUGUACUAACAUGGGGCGAGCCCAGCUGUUUGUGGUUUAGACGUGCACUUCCUGUGUUUAUUACGGCAGGAUCUGAACUUCCAGACCCCCUCUUGCACCCAGUUUACUUGAGAAGUAUUUCAAUGGAAUGAAGACUCGGAGCACAUUUUGAAGGAUGAGACGAUCAUAUAUGAUGGCGGCUCUUGUCCCCCUCCCCUCUUUUUGUUCUUCUCGCACCGUCUGUCUCUUUUGUCCGGAGGUCUGCCUCGCUGCAGUUCUCUUGGGGUCUAGGCUGAGGGCUUCGGUCCAUCUUGGAUUCUGAGGGAGAGAAAACGCCUCCAGGCAGGACGCACACGGAUGGUGUGUUUUUCAGGGGCCAAGAGGGCUUCAGGAAACCUUACGCAAUAUCUGUGAGAUCUACACUUGGACUUUCUCUCAUUCUGGGUGAUUGCAAAGUGUCGAAUAUGACCGGAAAUGGCUCAUAAAAAAGUAAAUCUCCAGGGGCCACGUAUCACAAUAAUUACUUUCAGUUGUACUACCGUUCAAACGUUUGAGGUCAGUAAGAUUUUUUAAAAAGAAAUUAAUACUUUUAUUCAGUAUGGAUGCACUAAAUUGGUCAAAAGUAUCAACAAAGACAUUACAAUGUUACAUGUAAUUUCUAUUUCAAAUAAAUGUUGUUCUUUUGAACAUUCUAAUCAUCAAAAAAUCCUGGAAAAAAGUAUCAUGUUUUCCAAUAAAACAUAUUAAGCAGAACAACUGUUUUUUUAACACUGAUAAUAAUAUAAGUUAUUGAGAUCAUUAUCAUUAUACCACAUAACAUGGUUGUGUGCAGAAUCUGGAGGAAAUUGUACAAUAACUCAGAUGCUUUGGUCGGGUCCAAGGUUGUGUAAUCACACAUCUUAAAGAAAGAAAUUUGAUGUUAAAUCGUGUCUCUAGAAAUGCAACAUUUCCAAGACCAUUACUAUGAGGACAGAGAAAAUUAGUUUAAUAGACAUCCCUUUCAUGUGGAUAAAGAGUCUAAUAUCGUUGAUUAUUGUCGUGCCAGAUGGGGAGGUUAAAGCGGCAGGUGGGGGAACUGAAGUGAGCUAUUAAAAUGUGUGAUUAUUACAAGAACUGCAUUAAGGUCUGUACAAAAAGGACAUGAAAAAUAGCCAGUGGACACACCUCUCUCUAGAUAAAAGGCAUUACUCUCAGUGUGAAUGGGUCAGUUUGUGACCCACAGAGCAUGACCGAUAUCCUCUUCGCCCACUGGCAGCUGCAUCAAAAGCUAUCCUCGAGCGUUUUUGUUUUCAGAGAGCUGUGUGCCCAUUGGAUGCACUCUAGAGACUUUUCAACACUUGCCCAUGGGGCGUUCUGGCCUCAAAGAAAAAACCUUGCUCUGAUCUGCCACAGACCAGCCAAAGCGCUCUGCACGUGCCUACGACACAAUGAGCAUUUACAUUCCCCCCCCCAGAAAAGAGCAGCUGAAACACGAGACUCAUGACUGCUACAAUUACUUUCACUUUCAGCUUUUUAAAAGGAACAGGUAAUCUAUGUUGGUUCGUUUAAUUCAAUCCAGUAGUCUUUUGGCACACUUAUGCUGAAUCAUUAAUUAAUUAAACACAACACUGACGUUUUCAAAUCUAUAAUAAAUAAUGAAAGUUUACCAACUCAUAGUGAUCCUAACAGAAAGCCCUCUAACUGCCACUAUUGCUAGACUUUGUGAACAUCUGUUUGGUACCAGGCGAAAAGAUGCAAAGUGACUAACUUGUAACAUAACAUGUUUGGUUAUUGAAAUGUUCAUAAACCCUGGUAAAAACCACUUGUACAUAUGUAUUUGUAAUACAUAUGUACUUACUUUUUAAAUGCCUUUGCUAUAUAUACUGUACAUACAUACACACACACACACACAUACUUGCUGUGACCAAGUAAGACAUGCUGCUGCUGCUGUACAACAUAGCAUACAUGGAUUACACAAAGCAGGAGGAGCUGGGGAAGGUGGAGGGUAGGG